rnacentral:rRNA from 1 species
GACGAACGCUGGCGGCGUGCUUAACACAUGCAAGUCACGGGGGCCCCGCGAGGGGUAACCGGCGAACGGGUGCGUAACACGUGAGCGACCUGCCUUUCCGCGGGGGAUAGCCGGCCCAACGGCCGGGUAAUACCGCAUACGCUGUUUCCGGGGCAUCCCGGGAUCAGGAAACCUCCGGGGCGGAGAGAGGGGCUCGCGACCUAUCAGCUAGUUGGCGAGGUAACGGCUCACCAAGGCGGCGACGGGUAGCUGGUCUGAGAGGAUGGCCAGCCACAUUAGGACUGAGAUACGGCCCAGACUCCUACGGGAGGCAGCAGUGGGGAAUAUUGCGCAAUGGCCUAACGGCUGACGCAGCGACGCCGCGUGUGGGAGGACGCCCUCGGGGUGUAAACCACUGUUGCCCGGGACGAACACCCUGAAUCUCAGGGCUGACGGUACCGGGUGAGGAAGCACCGGCUAACUCCGUGACAGCAGCCGCGGUAAC